rnacentral:rRNA from 1 species
CACGUAGGGCGCAAGCGUUGUCCGGAAUUAUUGGGCGUAAAGAGCUCGUAGGCGGUCUGUUGCGUCCGCGUGUACGAAAACUCGGGGCUUAACCCCGAGCCUGCAGUGGAUACGGGCAGACUAGAGGUAGGUAGGGGAGAAUGGAAUUCCCGGUGUAGCGGUGAAAUGCGCAGAUAUCGGGAGGAACACCGGUGGCGAAGGCGGUUCUCUGGAACGCAACUGACGCUGAGACGCGAAGCGUGGGAGCAA